UAUGACCUUAUAUAUGUUUAUGGCUCGGCCAAGCAUUCUAAACUAAUAAGUCGUCUCUGGGUCAUGAUUUGGGAGCUGGAUAUUGGCCCAAAAGAAAAAGACUGUACAGGAAGGUCUUACCAGGAAACUGAUUUUUAGAUGAAUCAAAUGCAGAAGAAAAAAUGUAACUGAAAGCUUUUUAUUUACAGCCCUUGGUGUAAUUCUAUGUUUUCUUUUGCCAAGCUGGUAAUAGCAAUGAAAGAGCUGCAGCAACAGAGAAAUAUUCCUGCCACUGCUGAUGAGUUUAAUGCUGUGUCUUCCAGUCCUGGAGAUGUACAGCAAACUGAGGGACCAGAUGAAAAGCAAAAGGGAAGCUCCUAAAGCAGGAAGGCAAACAACUCAAAUGUAUCCAGAAAGGCCCCCUACUGACAAGAAUCACUAGGCUCUUUCCUGCCAGAGUAAACAAUAAAAGGUGGUUGAGAUUAUAGGUGUGUGCCACCACACCUAGCUUAGAAGACUUAAUGUUUCAAGAGCCUAUCUUCCACACUAUAGGGAGGUAAAGGUGCAAGACACAGGCCAUGGGAAAGGCAGAAGAAAGCCAGGCAGUGUUUCCAUGUCAGAGAGAACCUGCUCUCAGUAAGAACGAGCUCACCUUGCCCACCGAGACCAUCAUGAAGAAGAACGAGUUUCUCUUCUGCCAAGACAGCUUCCUACAGGUAGGCUCUGCCCCACUGUGCUGAGAAUGAGGUUUGUCAAGUGCCUCCCACUGCAUUUUAUAAGCCAUAGUCUUAGUGUGGUUUUUA